rnacentral:misc_RNA from 1 species
GUUGCGUCACGGGUCGGACUUUGAUCAUCGACUUAUGAGUGACAAUAUACUCGACGUCCAAGGCAUUGUGACCCAACGAGUGGGGAGUUUGAUUUGGUUGGGACAAAUCAAACGCCCUGCGGCGGUAACGAUGACGAUGUGGUGUGGAUGAAAUUCCUACCACUGUUUGACGUUGUUGUUGCUGUUGGAACUCAUAUUUUCAUUUGUUGACAAGGUUUGUCAAAUAGUAUGGCGAUGUCAAGUUGCGUUGCGAUCUUAGUUUUACACUUUACAAGGUAUCUUCAAGAGGCCUGCAUGAUCGGUCCAAUAUAGCAUGUUCUUGUUUGAUUGUUGCUCUAUUAUUGGAUCGUUUGUGUAACCGAUUAGAUGAUUUGCCUUGCUUAGAGUAAAGCCUUAGAUGCCAAUGAAGACAUUGUUGCUCUAUAUUGAUAAACGUUGUUCAACGGUGAUGCAUGUGUUUCUUGGCAUGGUGUAGGCGGAUUGUUGCGAUGCAUUGUUGAUGAUGACAUUCGUCCCAAUGGGAUGUGGUGUCAUGUCCCUUGUUUAUCCUAGUUUUGGCUUAUUGAGCUUAAAAUGCUAGGAUUAUCAGUUAGUGACACGACAUCGCUCCAUUGGUUGAUGAAUGUCGUCCAAUGCGGUGGUGGUUGUUAUGUUUUGUUCUCGCAUCGUUCGGUGCAUUCUGGGGUCAUUUUUGCUGUUAGCGGCUUGCUUGGCAUUUGAGCUUAGUGGGCGGCUAUAGGUUAUGUGUCUUCGGGGAUGUAUACCGUAAAGGUGCAUGAGUGGUGUUUGGUGUGUUACGGGUGGUUGGCUCUUUGCUUGCGCAACAACUUCCUCCCGGCAUACCUCUUCAGUCUUGAGUCAAUGCUUGUAUGGCAUUGAGUGCAUGAUGGGUUUCUUGUGUUGCAUACCUAAUAUAUGGUAUCGUUUGAUGAAUUGGUUUCCCUUUUCGUCUUGCGUCGCUCAUGCGGUGUGAGAUGAACCUUGAGGCAGCCCUUGUGAUCCACUAUUUUGAUGCAUAUGCAUUGAUUUUGUGGCUCAUUGAGUGUUUGCUUGGUGUCAUGGAUAUGGAACCUGGUGUGGGCAUGGAAUCUUAAUGGUUCCUUGUUUGCUCAAAUUUAGCUUUUCUAAAACGAUGGUCU